rnacentral:rRNA from 1 species
UUUUUGCUGACGACCGGCGCACGGGUGCGUAACGCGUAUGCAAUCUACCUUAUACUGGAGGAUAGCCCAGAGAAAUUUGGAUUAAUACUUCAUAGUAUGUUUACCUCGCAUGGGGAAAACAUUAAAGGUUACGGUAUAAGAUGAGCAUGCGUCCUAUUAGCUAGAUGGUGUGGUAACGGCACACCAUGGCAACGAUAGGUAGGGGCCCUGAGAGGGGGAUCCCCCACACUGGUACUGAGACACGGACCAGACUCCUACGGGAGGCAGCAGUGAGGAAUAUUGGACAAUGGAGGCAACUCUGAUCCAGCCAUGCCGCGUGCAGGAAGACUGCCCUAUGGGUUGUAAACUGCUUUUAUACGGGAAGAAACGGCUCUACGUGUAGAGCUUUGACGGUACCGUAAGAAUAAGGAUCGGCUAACUCCGUGCCAGCAGCCGCGGUAAUACGGAGGAUCCAAGCGUUAUCCGGAAUCAUUGGGUUUAAAGGGUCCGUAGGUGGAUAAUUAAGUCAGAGGUGAAAGUCUGCGGCUCAACCGUAGAAUUGCCUUUGAUACUGGUUAUCUUGAAUUAUUAUGAAGUAGUUAGAAUAUGUAGUGUAGCGGUGAAAUGCAUAGAUAUUACAUAGAAUACCAAUUGCGAAGGCAGAUUACUAAUAAUAUAUUGACACUGAUGGACGAAAGCGUGGGGAGCGAACGGGAUUAGAUACCCCGGUAGUCCACGCCGUAAACGAUGGAUACUAGCUGUU